AAAUACUCCUGACUGACCGAUAGUGAACCAGUACCGUGAGGGAAAGGCGAAAAGAACCCCGGCGAGGGGAGUGAAAAAGAACCUGAAACCGUGUACGUACAAGCAGUGGGAGCACGCUUAGGCGUGUGACUGCGUACCUUUUGUAUAAUGGGUCAGCGACUUAUAUUCUGUAGCAAGGUUAACCGAAUAGGGGAGCCGAAGGGAAACCGAGUCUUAACUGGGCGUUAAGUUGCAGGGUAUAGACCCGAAACCCGGUGAUCUAGCCAUGGGCAGGUUGAAGGUUGGGUAACACUAACUGGAGGACCGAACCGACUAAUGUUGAAAAAUUAGCGGAUGACUUGUGGCUGGGGGUGAAAGGCCAAUCAAACCGGGAGAUAGCUGGUUCUCCCCGAAAGCUAUUUAGGUAGCGCCUCGUGAAUUCAUCUCCGGGGGUAGAGCACUGUUUCGGCAAGGGGGUCAUCCCGA
rnacentral:rRNA from 1 species